AACGUAGGGGGCCAGCGUUGCUCGGAAUUACUGGGCGUAAAGCGCACGUAGGCGGCUAUUCAAGUCGGGGGUGAAAGCCCGGGGCUCAACCCCGGAACUGCCCUCGAAACUAGGUAGCUAGAAUCUUGGAGAGGCGAGUGGAAUUCCGAGUGUAGAGGUGAAAUUCGUAGAUAUUCGGAAGAACACCAGUGGCGAAGGCGACUCGCUGGACAAGUAUUGACGCUGAGGUGCGAAAGCGUGGGGAGCAAACAGG
rnacentral:rRNA from 1 species